AUAAAAUAUCUUCCCGGUUUCUUUUUUUUUUCUUUUUUCCUUCUUUUUUAAGAAAAGUUACCUUUCUUACUUUUAGCAUACGAUCGAACCGUUGAAGCGUUUUGCACCUCGUAUUCGCGGGCAAUGGACCGUGCGUGCGAUCGACGACACCGGAAGUCUACUCCCGUUCGUUCUCCGACCUCAAGAAGGAUCGCGAAAAGUUAACGAGCACUACGUAAGUAGAGGAACGACCUUGAGUUAACGGGUUAAGGACGACUUCAACUAAAUGGGCCAUUGGCUGCUUCGACGAUCAACGUCCAUCUCAAAGGUAGAGAGUAUUCGAAGGUCGUAAAGGAGGGUUGUGUAAAGUACUAAAGAAAAUAUCUUUCGAAUGGAGUACAUUUUAGGAGGCAGCUGUCAGUGGAAAAAAAGAAAAAGAAAAGAAAGGAAAGGAAAAAGACAAAAAGUUCCCAACGAGCUAGUUCAAUCCAAUGGACGAAAGAAUUUUCAGGGUUACCAUUGAUAUAAAGGAUUAUGUUUCGAAGGGCAAGACUUUUACGUUUAAACUUACCUGGGUUUUGAACUUUAAAAAUAAUAAAACUCAAAGCACAGGUAAACCAUUUAUUUUCUGAUAAAUUUCGGAGUUUAGGUAUAUGAUAUAUUCGCUUACUUACUAGUUAUUUAUCAGCACCUAUCAGAAUCUACCAAGACCUCAGGUUUAUGGUAUAUACUUAUUAAGACUUUUCAGGAUCUAUCAGGAGCUAUUAGUACUUAUUAAAUCUUUUAUGAUAAUCUCAAUCUCGUAAUCUCAAUCAAAUUUUGGAACAUUAUCUUUCUCAUUUUUAUUCAUUCUUCAGAAUAAUUCAAUCUCAAUUUCGACGAUAUAAAAACAUAAACAUAAGAAAUAUAAAAAAAUAUUUACUUAUAAAAAAAAAAAAUAAAACAAAAAAAAAACAAAAUAUAAAAAAUUUUUACUCUGAUUAAUUCUAAUUGGAGUGAAUUUCUCGUUACUGUAACUAUAUCUUCAUUACGAUAACAUUAUCGGACGAUAUCGAAUGAUAAAAUCAUUGUAGAAACAUAUUCGAUAAAUAAUAGAAACAUUGAUUUAUUACUAUGUACCGCGGAAAGAAUCAACUUUACAUAUUAUGCAUCGCUCAUUGUAUAAUAUAAUAUCUCACUGGGAAAAUCUAUGGAAGUUGAUUCGUUCAGAAGUAUAUAAAAUCUCUGACGAAAUCAACUACUCUAAUAAUAAUAUUCCAAAAAAAAAAAAGAAAAGAAAAAUACAGAUACAAAUGAUUCGCGUUUUGAGAUUAUAUAAAGCAAGUGAAAAUAUAAUCGUAGAUAUCGAAAUAUCGAGUAAUCGUAUGAGUUUAAAUUGGUAAAAAAUGAAAGAGAAAGGCAAAGAGAGAAAGAGAAAGAGAAGAAGAUAAAGAGAGAGAAAGAGAGAGAGAGAGAAAGAUAUAUAUAUACAUAUAUAUAUAGAGAGAGAGAGAGAGAGAGAGAGAAAGUCAAUAAAAAUCACGCAUCUUUUUUUAAAAUGUUUUUCGUGUAAAUAUAGACGCAUGUAAGUACGUAAGCCCGCAAAAAGUUAAGAUAAUUAACAGUUCAAAAGUCUACGUAUUUCGUUUCGACGUACAAAAUGUAGUAAGUUUUUCCCGCGCCCAUUUCAGGACAAGUGCGAUCGUGCGAAUUCGAGAACGAAGGAGUCACAGUGCAAAUACCACAUUGAGAUUCAAUUCUCGCGGGAAGAUCAUUAACGUAAUAGCGAAAUCAACGACGGAUUUAUCUUAAUCUUGUUUGUGGUUGGUCACUCACGUACGCUGACAAGACGACAGGAUUCUCUAUGGCGAUGUAACGUGCGGAAAGCGUGUUUUUUCAAAAGCAAAAAGAACAAAGUCGAAAUUGUCAAGGGGAAAGAGAGGGAAAGAGAGGGAAAGAGAGAGAAGGAAAAGAGAGAGAAAGAGAGAGAGAGAGAGAGACAGAGCGCAAAGAAUCGAACGAAUAAAAAGCAAAAAGACUCUUGCUGGUCGUCGUACAACGAGGAAAGGAUAAAAAUCGUAAAGGUUUUUCGCGCGCAGAACGAGCGAAGACACGUGAUGUCGGUGACAGAGGAGAGGAGGAGGAGGAGGUGUAGCGGCGUGAUAGUGCGGAGGUGAGGUGGGUGACGAAAAAGGCGAGUAAAUGUGCCGGAUACUCUCAUCCAUACGUGUUGGUCGACAUUCAACAAGUGACUGACACUGAUGUCGCCCGAACGAUAUCCUACGUCCUUUGCCCUGCAAGGGUGGAAGUGGGAUGCAAUAGGGGGUAACAUUAUUGCCGGCACCGGCCGAGUCCGAGUAUCGGAAAGCUUCUGUGGCAUGUAAAUACAUAUCUCAAUUUCGCUGGGAGAGAAAGUUUUUCUUCCGAAAUUUGCGAAGCUUUCGUGUAAGCUUACGCACGAUGCCUUUUUAUAUUCUUCGUCUUUCUUAAUUAUUCGACUGUAUUUAUCUUGAAAUAAAUAUCUUUGAGAUAAAUAAGAAAAGAAUAUUAAACUUGGGAAGUAUCAACGUUAUUUCUUUAUAUUUUCGCUUAAAAAAAAAUUCCCUAUUGUCAAAAAAAAAAAAAAAAAAGAAAGAAAAGAAAAGAAAAGAAAAAAAACGGGAAGACCUAACCUCGAAUUGCGAACGACGUUUGACUCGCGCGCGCCAUCUCGUAGAACGACGCCGUUUCCGUGCGGUUUUUGCAGAACCGAACUUUCUCCUCAACCCUUCGUAAAUAGUUUCAGGAUCGAAAAUAUUAAGGGAAAAAUCGAGGCAGUUCGAAGGAAAAUGAGAUCUUUCUCUUUCUUUCUUUCUUUCUCUCUCUCUCUCUCUCUCUCUCUCUCUCUCUCUCUCUCUCUCUGUUUUUUCUUUUAUGAAAGAAAGGAAAAAAGAGAAAGAGAACGUUCUCCGUGAGAAGGCAUAAGCGCGUAAAUAUCAACGCGGACGAAGAGCCAUGGAGCGUAGGAAUGGAAAGAAGGAACGAACAGACCGGUCUUGCUGUCUGCUCUUUCUUUCUAUCUCUCUCUUUUUCUUUCGUCUCCAUAUGCUCUUCCCUCGCGUUCUUGAAGCAAAAGAAAAAGAUGGAGUCGAAGAAGUCUAACGCAACGGAGAGCAAGAAAGAAAGAAAGAAAGAAAGAAAGAAAGAAAGAAAGAAAGAAAGAAAGAAAGAAAGAAGGAAAGAAAGAAAGAAGGUUACCGACGAGGAGGAUGGACAGAGGCAGGCGAGCAGCAGGCAGGCAGGCAGGCAGGCAGGCAGAGAGUUGGCAGGCACAGGUAGGCAAGCAGGCAACAAGCAAGCAGGCAGGCAAGCCGGCCGGCAAACAGACAGGCAGGCAGGCAUGCAGGUAGGCAAACAGGCAGGAAGGCAGGAAAACAGGCAGGCAGGCAAGCUGGCUGGUUGGUUGAUGGAGAGGCGCCGACGAAGAGAGGGAGUAAGAGAGAUGAAAGAGGAGGAGGAGGAGGAGGAGGAGGAUGAAAGGUAGAUGAGGGAGGAGGAAGGCGAGGGGAUCGAUAGAACGACAAGGACGGCGUAUGCAUAUAUAGUUAUACACAUAGCAUGCUACGGCAGCAUCGGCUGUCGUCGAAUGACGGAAAGGGGGUGGGGAGAAAGAGGGGAGGCCUGCGAGCGUUUCGAGGCGUCCCUGGAUGGCGGCACCACCGUCGACCCCAACGCACGGAUAGAUGCGAUGAGGCCUGCGCCGUUUGUGUAGGUGUUUAAGAUUACUAGUGGUAGUAAGUAAUAGUAGUAGUGUAGAGUAGCGGGAUGGCUAGGUAGGUAGUGGUAGUAUAUGUAGAAUCAUUGGCACAGCGGCAGCAAUACUGACUGGGUGGGGAUAACGUCAGACUGACGGACUCGUGGGAAAGAGAGAGGAGAGGAAGCGAGUGAGUGAGCGAACGAGCGAACGACAAAGAGAGAGAGAGGGGAGAAAGAGAGAGAGCGACAUGGGCGCGCGCGCGAGGCUCGACGAGGAAGGAGAUUGGUCGAGGCAGUGGCGACGAUGCGACUGCCUCGGAGGUGGGAGAAGGCUGGCGCGAUCGGAUCGCGGUGAGUAUGAGAGAGAGAGCGACGGAGAGAGAGAAAGAGAGAUAGAAAGAGAUAGAGAGAGAGAGAGAGAGAAAGACAAACCGAGAAAGGGCGAGAGAGGUAGAGAGCAAGCAAGAGAGAGCGUGGAGAGAGAUGGCGAGGGAUGGUGCGAGGGCAGGAGGGAGAGAGCCGACUUUAUGCAGCUGCGGGACGAUAACAACGAUGGGCUACAGGACCGCCGCUAUAGCUGGGGAAAUGCCAAAUGGGCUACAGGACCGUGCCGGCCUAGCUGUACGUACGUUCGCUCGCUCGUAGUGGCAUGGCGGACGGGCGGCAGAGAGAAGCAGGCAGGAAAGGCGGGAAGGAGAGAGGGAUUUCAAGCGGUCGUCUCUUCUCGUCUGCCUCUGCCUCUGCUCUCUACUACGCUCUGCUCUGCUCCGCUCUGCGCUCUCUUAGAGACGACGUGUAUACCUACCCACGUAUACUCCUCUACCUAUACCACCCGUCUAUCUAUCUUUCUCUCGUUCUCUUUCUCUCUCACUCGCUCUGUCUCUCUCUCUCUCUCUCUCUCUCUCUCUCUCUCUCUCUCUCUUCUCCUCUCUGUCUCUCUUAUUCGCUCUUUGCUGCUACUACGUACUUUUCCUCUCUUCUACCAUCUUUGCCUCUUCUUCCUCUUUGGUUCUUCUUCUUCUCUUUCUUCCUUCUUCUUCUUCUUCUUCUAUUACGACUACUACUACUACUACCACUACUAAACUAAUACUACUACUACUAUACUACUACUGCUGCUGCUGCUGUUGCUGCCGCUACUUCUGCUUCUGCUGUUUUUCUCUUUUACUCUUCUCUUUAUCUUCCUUCAUAGCUCCUCGCGUACUUUUCUCUCAAACAUUUUCCGCGACCGGUGCUCGACUCGCACGUCUUCCACGAUGACGUUCCUAGUCCUUCGCGAACUUUGCCCCUUCCCCUCUCUCCUCCCAUACCCCACCCAAUCCCCUACCCAUCAAGGAGAAGCGCGUCCGACGUACUCUUUCAAAAAUCGACGCGUCCUCCAUUAUCCGAUUUUUCUUUGAUAAACACAAGAAGAACACUGAGACUUUCGACUUCGGAAUAAAUGAUCCGAUCCGAUCCGAUCCGAUUUCGAACCCUUUUGAUAAUAUACGACGAAGAAUUAUUAAUACGUCCUCUCUUUCUCUCUCUUUUUCUCUUUUUCUAAGAAUAUACCUACGCAAAUGAAAACCCUACAAGCCGAGUAAAUGGAAAGGGCUUGUGAUGACGUUUCUAGAGGUCGCUGAGAACAAAGUUUAAAGUUCGUACAUGGGAUGUCCCGAUUUAACUUGAUCCUUAAAAUGAUCUUGCGUUUGUCUUUUCUUUUCUCUUUUUUUUGUUUUUGUUUCGUUCUUUUUACUUUCUUUCCUUUUAUUUUUAGAGAACGAUAAGAAAAAUCAAUCGAACGGCGAAAAUGAUUGAUUUUGUAGAAACAAUUAAUAUUUCAAAACUUUCCUUUCGAAAUUCCGAAAGUAUAGUCCCUCUUGAAAAUUUUAUUUUCUUUUUUACUUUUUCAUCUCCAAUAGAAAGAAAGAAAGAAAGAAAGAGAGAGAGAGAGAGAGAGAGAGAGAAAGAGAGAGAAAUCGAUAUUUUUUUGUUGAUAUAGUUAAACGGAACACCCCGUAUAACAUUGGGAGCUCUCUCGGAAGCGCGUCGAUCCAUAUUUUAAAGCUACGGUCGAUAUUGAGAGAGAGAGAGAGAGAGAGAGAGAGAGAGAAAGAAAGAGAGAGAGAGAGCGAUAGAGAGAAAUAAAGAGAGAUCGUCGAGUUUUGUACUCUUUUUGAUUUCGUUAAAACGCGAGUAUGAUUUUCUUUAAACUUAUAAAUUCAAAGGUCCUCUUCUCAGAAAAUCAACGAUAACAAAGAUAACAAUAACGAUGGUGAUGACGAGGACGAUGAUGAUGAUGACUAUAAAAAUGAAGAUAACGACGACGACGAAGAAGAAAACAACGUGAAAUUGUUUUAUUAAAGAAUGUCUGAACGAGAACCAGCCUGAAAUUGUCAAUCUCUAAAAACGGUCAAUGCUUUUUGAAAAAGAAAA